rnacentral:piRNA from 1 species
UGGGGAAUCUACCUGUGGCCU